rnacentral:tRNA from 1 species
GGUGGCUCAGUGGUAGAGCGCUUGCCUCACAUGCCUGAGACCCUGGGUUCAAUUCCUCAGCACCA